rnacentral:rRNA from 1 species
GACGAACGCUGGCGGCGUGCCUAAUACAUGCAAGUCGAGCGAAGUUUUUCUGGUGCUUGCACUAGAAAAACUUAGCGGCGAACGGGUGAGUAACACGUAAAGAACCUGCCUCAUAGACUGGGACAACUAUUGGAAACGAUAGCUAAUACCGGAUAACAGUAUUUCUCGCAUGAGAGAUAUUUAAAAGUUGGUUAUGCUAACACUAUGAGAUGGCUUUGCGGUGCAUUAGCUAGUUGGUGGGGUAAAGGCCCACCAAGGCGACGAUGCAUAGCCGACCUGAGAGGGUGAUCGGCCACACUGGGACUGAGACACGGCCCAGACUCCUACGGGAGGCAGCAGUAGGGAAUCUUCCGCAAUGGGCGAAAGCCUGACGGAGCAACGCCGCGUGAGUGAAGAAGGAUUUCGGUUCGUAAAGCUCUGUUGUUAGGGAAGAAUGGAUAUGUAGUAACGAUGCAUGUAAGAGACGGUACCUAACCAGAAAGCCACGGCUAACUACGUG